UGCAUGCAUGGGCGCAGCCUGAUGCAGCGACGCCGCGUGAGGGAUGACGGCCUUCGGGUUGUAAACCUCUUUCAGCAGGGAAGAAGCGGAAGUGACGGUACCUGCAGAAGAAGCGCCGGCUAACUACGUGCCAGCAGCCGCGGUAAUACGUAGGGCGCAAGCGUUGUCCGGAAUUAUUGGGCGUAAAGAGCUCGUAGGCGGCUUGUCGCGUCUGCUGUGAAAGCCCGGGGCUUAACUCCGGGUGUGCAGUGGGUACGGGCAGGCUAGAGUGCAGUAGGGGUAACUGGAAUUCCUGGUGUAGCGGUGAAAUGCGCAGAUAUCAGGAGGAACACCGAUGGCGAAGGCAGGUUACUGGGCUGUUACUGACGCUGAGGAGCGAAAGCAUGGGGAGCGAACAGGAUUAGAUACCCUGGUAGUCCAUGCCGUAAACGUUGGGCACUAGGUGUGGGGGACAUUCCACGUUUUCCGCGCCGUAGCUAACGCAUUAAGUGCCCCGCCUGGGGAGUACGGCCGCAAGGCUAAAACUCAAUGAAUUUGACGGA
rnacentral:rRNA from 1 species